AGGGUUUAUUUGGUUCACCUACUUUAGACUAUAAAAUUUGAACGAGAUUCGUUGAUUUUGAUAAUUGUUGUUUGUUUUACAAAAAUCGGAUUCCGACUCCUAUUCUACUCUGAAAUGAAAAUAACCUAAUUUAUUUAUUGCAUAAUCUGACCCAUUCUAAAGUAAUCCGCUCAAAAUCUUUUUUCACAAGCACCUCUCUUCUCUCCUCUCGCCACUCUCAUCUUUUUUAAUCAAAAUUUUCUCUCAAUAUUCAUUUCAAUUUCAAUUCCAAUAAUGAAUCAAAUAUUUUUGAAUGAUUCAGCAUUCUAUUUUCCAUUCCAAUAUAAUUCAAUUAUGUUUUCUAAUCCUAUUUCAAUCAUGAAUCAAACAUGAGUGUUGAAUUUGUUUGGUAUAUUUCUUUAUUAUAUAUAUAGAGUUGAGUUAGCCUGUUGUCGGUAUUAAACAGACUCCGUUGCUAGAGAUUUGUUUUCAAUAAUUAGAUCCAAAUCGACGAGUAGCACGUUUGGCAUGAUCUAGACUAUUUAAAGUAUUUAAAAACUAAAUUUCAUAUAUUUUCGAUACUAUUAACCUAAUGAUCAAAGGGUAGCAAAAUUUAUAAUUUUAACAAUCGAUACGAAACGUUUGCUCAUUUAACGGAGUAAAAAAUUCAAAUCAGUUGAAUUUUUAUUAAAAAAUUAUUUAAACUAUUUAAAACAAGAUUCACAUCCUUAAUCUUGAAUAUAAAAAUUUAAUUUGAAGGAUAUUCAUUUGCAAUCAUUCAUUUUUGCAUUCACUUGGAUGCACAAGAGAACAAGAUUGAAAAAAAUACAAAUUUUGAUUUCUAAAUACAUCAAAUAGUCUAAAUCAUAUUCAACAGUGUCCGAUCGUCGAUUUCAAAGCUUUAUCACUGAAACUAAAUUGAUAGCAAUGAACCUAUAUAUUUCUUAUAGCAUUCUAUCUCAACUCACUCUCUCUCUCUCUCUCUCUCUUUAUCGCUAAUUCCGCUAUUUGAUCACAUGGAACAUGAGAGAUUCCCCCAAGUGGGCUUUACUUUUAAUAGUUUUGACUUUGUCCAAUAUUGAUUUGAAAUUUUUAUUAUCGAAAAUUAAAUCGAUAACAAAUUAGCAAUGAAUCUGUUUAUUACUGAUAGCAUUCUAGCUCAACUCUUUCUCUCUCUCUCUUUAUCGCUAAUUCCGCUAUUUGAUCGCAUGGAACAUG
rnacentral:lncRNA from 1 species